CUGGUUCCUUGCAGCUGUGACUCCCCAGGGUAAGAGGCAAAGAGCCACCAGGUCCCAGCUGAGGAAGCCCUGUGGUCAGCUCAGACAGGGAUGCGGACUGAAGCCGAAGCAGGUGUUAGUAAUUGUCGUACCUACAGACGAGGAAACCGAGCCUCCAUGAAGUGAAGUGACUCACCCACAGUCACACAGCUAAUAUAUGCCAGAGCCCACAGCAGAACCCAGACGUACUGAGGCCAAGUUCCAUGCCAGCAUAAAACAGGCUCCAGUUCUCCCUGGAUUCCAGGAACACCAUCUCCUUCCUCGUCCCUUCCAUCCCAGGGAAGAAUUGAAGCACAGAAGCAAACGACCUCUCUUUGUAUUCAUGAUUUUCAACAGGUCUCCUGGUUCUUCUAGCCCCUCUAACUUCCUCUCAUCUCUCCUGUAACAACAAUGAUCAGAAUGAUAC
rnacentral:lncRNA from 1 species